rnacentral:lncRNA from 1 species
GCAGAGGCAAGGGGAUCAGUCGAGCCCCGCUGGUGGGAUGAGUCUGCCGGGACAAGGGGUGCUAGCUGUGGUCCUCGUCUGCCUUGUUCUCAGCUGUAUCCUGGCCCCCAGAUGAAGCCUGGCCACAGUGUACUUGGUAAAUAGUGGUUGCAGGAAUGACUGAAAUCCUGGCCUGAGUGAGCUCACAACUUUCCAUAUGAGGCAAAUAAGCAGAUCUGUUGGUUAUGACCCAGAUACGUGGUGACCAGGGCAAACGUUUGUCAGAGGAGUGACGGGUGGGGGCUGGACUGUCUUCCCGGUACAGCUGUGGAGGAAAGCAGGCAGUGCAGCUGGGACAUGCAGCCGCUGUCCCCUGGGGCUGGCGGAAGGGUGUGGAGUGACGGAGAGGGAGAGCUGCUGAUCAGGGAGCUGGGCAUCCCGUUGCAGCCUUACUGGGAAGCUUGCAUCCCAGAGCCGACUUGCCUCACCUUUAUUCAGGGAUUCAGGCCCUUCCCCUCCCCCAAGGGCUUGCUUAAUUCCCCUGGCUUCCUUGAGGCAUACUCAGAAAUUCCUUUCAGUUCCCCUUUCUGCUGGCUGUGCUUGAGGCAGGGAUGGGCCAAAUACCCUCCACGCCCUUGGUCCAUCCAGAAGUACUGAGUCAACAGCCCUUUCCCAGAAUCUAC